GAGGGUAUAGCUCAGUGGUAGAGUGCACGCCUAGUAUGCAUGAAGCCCUGGGUUCAAUCCGCAGUACCUCCA
rnacentral:tRNA from 1 species